rnacentral:lncRNA from 1 species
CAAAAUCUCAGCUUAUGAUCUCUAGGUAUCAUCUAGAUGAUCUCUUGCCCAUCAUUAAUGCCAUAGCAAAUAUUUAGACUGUAAAUACAUGCAUAUUUCCCUUCAAAAUUGCAGAUGGAAGAAGUAAUUUCCAGGUAUUCUUCUACUCAAGACAAAGGUUUCCUGAAGACUGAAAAACAGAUUGCUGGAACAACCACGACCAAAAGCUAACUGAG